rnacentral:rRNA from 1 species
AUUGAACGCUGGCGGCAUGCCUUACACAUGCAAGUCGAACGGUAACAGGUCUUCGGAUGCUGCCGAGUGGCGUACGGGUGGGUAAUACAUCGGAACGUGCCCGAUCGUGGGGGAUAACGGAGCGAAAGCUUUGCUAAUACCGCAUACGAACUACGGCUGCACGCUGGGGACCGCAAGGCCUUGCGCGGACGGUGCGGCCGAUGGCAGACUAGGUAGUCGGUGGGAUAAAAGCUUACCAAGCCGACGAUCUGUAGCUGGUCUGAGAGGACGACCAGCCACACUGGGACUGAGACACGGCCCAGACUCCUACGGGAGGCAGCAGUGGGGAAUUUUGGACAAUGGGCGAAAGCCUGAUCCAGCCAUGCCGCGUGCAGGAUGAAGGCCUUCGGGUUGUAAACUGCUUUUGUACGGAACGAAAAGACUCUUUCUAAUAAAGAGGGUCCAUGACGGUACCGUAAGAAUAAGCACCGGCUAACUACGUG